GUGAGAGUGCCAAUGUUGGGGCUGCUCGACUUCUUCAAGAAGCUGCAAGGAUUUUGAAGAGAGAGUCAGAAAGCACAGCCACUGCUGGCUCAGGAUCACAGACUGGUACUGGGACGUGUUCACCCAGUUCUUUUAGAGGUUUGUUUAACAACAUGCAAACCUCACUAGCUGAAGUACAACAGGGAACCCCUACAGUCGAUUCAGGCAGGAUUCCCUGCACUAGAAAUGACCACAUUCAAAGAAAUCUUGUGCAGCUGUUUCAGCCAUGUGAUCGGGCAAGGGGGCAAAAGAUGUUCCAGAAAACUGGAAAGUGUAAACGGAAAACUACACACAGUGAAACCUGGACACGUGAUUUCUUUUGCUUACAGAGACCAAUGUUCAAACUGUGCCCAAUGGAGAAGACCGCAUUGGUUUACAGAAUUCAGCCCUUGGUAGGAAAAAAAUAACAUUUGCAGACAAAAAUGGAGGAUUUUCUGAACUAUGUGAAACUCUGUUUUCACAUUUUCCACAAUUGAAAGGUGCAGGAGGCUUUCAGAUGUUGAGGUCCGUUAAUAAAACCAAACAAUUGGCACCAAUUCCAAUGCCAGCCGGUGAGUACAGUGAGAAAUUUCUGAGAACUGAGAGUGGCCUGAACCAGGCAAUGGCCUACAUUCGACCACUUCAGAAAAACCUGGAGAGCAUUGCGAAGCGUGAGGCUGAAGAGUGUCAAGAGGUGGUCAUGGAGAAGUGCAAAAGGUGUGGAAAAGAUAUCCCUCUGCAAUGCCUUUCAGAACACAUUGAAAACUGUGGAAGGUCAUCUGUUUUUCUGGUGUAUUUGUCAUAUAAAUUGCUCAUUUACUUUUACAACAUAGUGGUUGACUUGUAUCUGUGGUAAAUAUGUUUUGACAUUCAAAGCAUGUAUGUCUUUGUUAACUGUUUUCAGACAGCCUGAUGACACUGAUUUGGAAGAUGAUGUCGUUAUGGAGAUAUCUGAAGAGACUCAACUAUCUAUGUCAUCACAUGACAACACAUCCCAUGUUCUAAAUUAUUACAACAAGUGCCAUGCUUCUUCUAGUGGACUGUACAGAGACUAUGUGGACCUUGUCAGUGAAGACAAUGUAUUUAGUGAUUCUGAAGAAGAGCAGCUGAAUAGAGUUCUAGAGGAAUCGCUAAAGGAAAGCUCGCAUGCAGCUUUUAAAUUUCAAAGUCAGACAAUUAAAAAGGAACUGGAUGAUGCGGUUCGACUGGUAUGUUCUUCAGCGAACAAGAACACAGUUUGAAAGGUUGCAAGAAGGACUCCGUUCUCUCGGUGUAAUGGAUUCUAUGAAGGCCCACCCUGAAACCUUUAAACCUAUUUUCUGUCAAUCGACAGAGAAGCUGACUGCUGAUGUGCUUGAAGAGCAGCGAUCUGACUGUGGGAGUAACAAGUUUGAGAGAGAAAAUGAAGCAGUAUGUCAUUGGAGGGAUUAUCUCUUGGAUGUAGAGAUGGGGAUUUGUGGAGUUACCCUGGAGGACAUCCUUGUCUUUGCCACAGGAAGUGACAGUGUACCAGCAUUGGGCUUCAACCCUGCUCCAACUGUUGAAUUUUUGCAUGAUGGUUCACGGUUUCCACUUGCAAACACAUGUUCCAGCAUAUUAAGGGUACCAUGCAGGCAUUCAUACGAGUCCUUCAGGGAUGAUAUGGACUUUGGAAUUAAAAAUUCCCCAGGCUUUGGAAGGGCAUAACCAAAUUCCUUUGCUUACCAUACCUGUAGUCAAAGGGCACAAGUAUGUUCGAUCCUAAGAACAAUGUUAUGCAUGCCAAAGUGCUGCUAGAAUUUUUAUGUUUGUCAUUUUUGUUAUCUAUAAUUCUUUGUACACUUAAAUUUAGCAAGUGAGUCACUUUUGGUUGAGAAUUCUUACCUGUAGUUAUUAUUAUUGCAGAUAUUUAGCAGACACCUUUAUUAAGCACUACAAUUCAAUUUACUAAAAUAUUAAAAUGUAAUAGUUCAAUCUGUCAAUAUUAACAUCAGUGCCUUUAAAUAAAAGUAUAGGCUGGAUCUUUUCCCUCCUAAGGAUUUUUGGUAAUAGAGAAUUCUUAACAGUUGUUAAGUUGUUCCAAGAAAGAACAUUUUACUUUUCCUCCUUAUUAAUAAACACUAUUUGCAUUUCUGUGAUGUAAAGUCUGUUUGCAGCUUAUUUUUAAACUGAGAAUUAAAACACAAAUCCAUCAGCUAUAUUCACAUUAUAUUUAACACUACUUAAAUCAAAAUGGCAAAAUACUGUGAUACUCCAAGUUGACUAGAAAUUGGCCUUUACAAACUGGGUUUAAAAUAAAAAGGGUAAAAAUAAUUAUUUUUAUUAUAAAAACUAUUCACAUUAACACUUGCAGAGGUGAUGAGAAGAGAACCCUUGCUAAAACCUGAGUGCACUGUACAAUACAUGUUUGAAAGCCUUUUCAGGAUGAAAAGGAGCGGUUGUGGUAUGUAAAGGUCUUAAAACCUACAUUUAGGCAUUUCUGUUGUUUGCUACACUUAAUGCUUCUAAAUAAAGAUCAAGUCCGAAACAGCUGCUCGUCCUCAAAGGGUCAAUGUUGACUGGAAGGAGAGGAACCAGUGUGUCCUGCAAUGAAACUGGGGGCUCUGAUUCACGGCAGGCUCCAGGUCCUUCCAUAGUUAUCAAAAUCCAUCUAGUAAAAUGGAGACAAUCAAUUUAACAUGUUAAUUAGAUAUAUAAGGUAACCUUUAUUUGUAUCGCUGAAGAAAAGGAAGUACCAUAUCAGAGUUCCAAGUCUCACAGGAAGUGGGAUUUCCGCUGCUGUAGUUUGACAGUAGCCCUUGAAUCCAUAGCUGCUGUGGGGAUUUCAUGUGCUCCGAGGAUAGAGGACGUCGGUCCCACAUAUCAAGUUCUGUAAUAAUUUACCCAACACACGACGAGGAUGCUCCAGCAUAAAUCGAGCCACUUCAAUGUUUUCAAGGCCUUUGUCAC